rnacentral:rRNA from 1 species
GGGGGGUGCAAGCGUUGUUCGGAUUUAUUGGGCGUAAAGCGCGUGUAGGCGGUCUUAUAAGUCUGAUGUGAAAGCCCUGGGCUCAACCCAGGAAGUGCAUUGGAUACUGUAAGACUUGAAUACGGGAGUGGGCAGUGGAAUUCCUAGUGUAGGAGUGAAAUCCGUAGAUAUUAGGAGGACACCGGUGGCGAAGGCGGCUGCCUGGACCGAUAUUGACGCUGAGACGCGAAAGCGUGGGUAGCAAACAGGAUUAGAUACCCUGGUAGUCCACGCCGUAAACGAUGAGAACUAGGUGUUGCGGGUAUUGACCCCUGCAGUGCCGUAGCUAACGCACUAAGUGCCCCGCCUGGGGAGUACGGCCGCAAGGUUA